rnacentral:rRNA from 1 species
UACAGAGGGUGCAAGCGUUGUUCGGAAUUACUGGGCGUAAAGAGUGUGUAGGCGGUGCUCUAAGUUCGUUGUGAAAUCUCCCGGCUUAACUGGGAGGGUGCGGCGGAAACUGGAGUGCUUGAGCGCGGGAGAGGAAAGCGGAAUUCCUGGUGUAGCGGUGAAAUGCGUAGAUAUCAGGAGGAACACCUGUGGUGUAGACGGCUUUCUGGACCGUAGCUGACGCUGAGGAGCGAAAGCGUGGGUAGCGAACAGG